rnacentral:rRNA from 1 species
GAUGAACGCUGGCGGCGUGCCUAAUACAUGCAAGUCGAGCGAACGGACGAGAAGCUUGCUUUUCUGAUGUUAGCGGCGGACGGGUGAGUAACACGUGGAUAACCUACCUAUAAGACUGGGAUAACUUCGGGAAACCGGAGCUAAUACCGGAUAAUAUUUUGAACCGCAUGGUUCAAAAGUGAAAGACGGUCUUGCUGUCACUUAUAGAUGGAUCCGCGCUGCAUUAGCUAGUUGGUAAGGUAACGGCUUACCAAGGCAACGAUGCAUAGCCGACCUGAGAGGGUGAUCGGCCACACCGGAACUGAGACACGGUCCAGACUCCUACGGGAGGCAGCAGUAGGGAAUCUUCCGCAAUGGGCGAAAGCCUGACGGAGCAACGCCGCGUGAGUGAUGAAGGUCUUCGGAUCGUAAAACUCUGUUAUUAGGGAAGAACAUAUGUGUAAGUAACUGUGCACAUCUUGACGGUACCUAAUCAGAAAGCCACGGCUAACUACGUGCCAGCAGCCGCGGUAAUACGUAGGUGGCAAGCGUUAUCGGGAAUUAUUGGGCGUAAAGCGCGCGUAGGCGGUUUUUUAAGUCUGAUGUGAAAGCCCACGGCUCAACCGUGGAGGGUCAUUGGAAACUGGAAAACUUGAGUGCAGAAGAGGAAAGUGGAAUUCCAUGUGUAGCGGUGAAAUGCGCAGAGAUGUGGAGGAACACCAGUGGCGAAGGCGACUUUCUGGUCUGUAACUGACGCUGAUGUGCGAAAGCGUGGGGAUCAAACAGGAUUAGAUACCCUGGUAGUCCACGCCGUAAACGAUGAGUGCUAAGUGUUAGGGGGUUUCCGCCCCUUAGUGCUGCAGCUAACGCAUUAAGCACUCCGCCUGGGGAGUACGACCGCAAGGUUGAAACUCAAAGGAAUUGACGGGGGCCCGCACAAGCGGUGGAGCAUGUGGUUUAAUUCGAAGCAACGCGAAGAACCUUACCAAAUCUUGACAUCCUUUGACAACUCUAGAGAUAGAGCCUUCCCCUUCGGGGGACAAAGUGACAGGUGGUGCAUGGUUGUCGUCAGCUCGUGUCGUGAGAUGUUGGGUUAAGUCCCGCAACGAGCGCAACCCUUAAGCUUAGUUGCCAUCAUUAAGUUGGGCACUCUAAGUUGACUGCCGGUGACAAACCGGAGGAAGGUGGGGAUGACGUCAAAUCAUCAUGCCCCUUAUGAUUUGGGCUACACACGUGCUACAAUGGACAAUACAAAGGGCAGCGAAACCGCGAGGUCAAGCAAAUCCCAUAAAGUUGUUCUCAGUUCGGAUUGUAGUCUGCAACUCGACUACAUGAAGCUGGAAUCGCUAGUAAUCGUAGAUCAGCAUGCUACGGUGAAUACGUUCCCGGGUCU